GAGACUCAGUAGUGUUCAGGGUGCCGUGUUGUAAGGACCCACGUUCUGCUUCUCGCCCGCUAAGUGAAAGUCAGCAUCUCAUCUCAUGGUGUUAAAUCACAAAGAUUAUCAUCACCGUCAGCGAGUGUGUGAAAUUACAUACUAGUGCUUGGAUUACGCAUUGUGGAAAUACAUUUAUUGUCCAGAAAAAAAUAUAUAUAUACACAUACUAGUUUGCAUGCUAGUUACAUAAUAGUCACACAAUAGUUAUUGCAUAGACAUAUUCACAAUAUCAGUGAUAUCAAAAAAGAAAAGGAAAAUAAAUACAUAAAUGUAUAUCUGAAAAAAAAACGAGUUUAAAGCACAGUAAAAAAAUAUACCGUGUAGUGAGAGAUGAACAUUAGUGAAAAAAGAAAGAAAUAUAGUGUGAAUAUUUACAUAAUUAGUGUGAGAAUUAUUACGUUAGGCCCCCAUCUUCCUCGACAUCAUUCUGGAGGCUAAUUAAACACCUGAAGAGGCACCUUAGAGGAUUAGCUACUCAUAACAGAGAGAAAGAAAAGAAAGAGAGAAAGAGAAAGAGAGACAGACUGGGAGGAGAAUUGUCUCGCCAAAUUUUAAGGUGAGUCAUCUGGAGAUCACAUGAAAACAAGUCGACUAUAAGAAAAAGAAGGAAAGAAAGAAAGAAAGAAAGAUAGAAAGAAAGUAAGUAAGAAAGAAAGAAAGAAAAAGAAGGCAAAGACAAGCGUAAGUAAAAUAAAGUGAGUAACAAUAAGAGUGUAUUGUUACUCAUCAAGAAUAUGGUGUCAUUUGAUAAGACUAUUUAUUAUGCUAUUUAAUCUCAUGGAAUGAUGUCAGUUAAUGAGAGUGUGGUGUUAUUUGAUGUGAUUAUGGUGUCUCCUUAUUGGAUUGUGGUGUAAAAUGGUGUG
rnacentral:lncRNA from 1 species